CAGGGUUAUAAAAAAAUGGCUGAAUUAAAAAUACUGAAAGGCGUUCCUGCCAGGCCUCAGAGGCUGGGAGUGGGGGUAGGAUUCCAACCUAGAGUAGUAAAUUAACGUUUAUUUCUUCACACACCCACCGGCAGGUAAAGACUGGCUCCUGGUAGCCUUGGUGCUAAAAAUACUGGGCUUUCUUUGGACAACCUGCCGAGAUUUGUUCCUCACCUUCAUCCUGAGAAGAUGGCUGAGAGGGUUCUUGAGGGGGAAGGGGGGACUAGAGGUACAGCCUGUGGUAGAUAGGGAUUCAUAACGCCGACUGGGCUCUAGUGUUAAAAAGGCUGACCUCUGGGGUCUCAACGCACCUGUCUGAAAAAUGAGACCCAGGCACCGCCACUGAGCCUAGAACUCAUUCAGUGGGGAAGGACUAGGUGAUUUGUUCUGCUGGACAGCAGGAAGUUCGAAUCUAUUAUAACUGGGCCAAGAGACUGGUUGCACCACAUUAUAGUAAAAGCAACCAACAGGUUAAGUGCAAUGUAAGGAGGAGAUUUUGUUAAGGAACUGUUGGGUCCAUUCCCAGUUUUUUCUUAUUAAGGGGGAUGCAGCCAGCCUCUGACACCCAGACAGCUCAGAGACCUCCUUGGAGAACUGCCUAUCCGUUCAUCUAGAGCAGAUAGUGGGUGUUUGAGUGCCGGGCCCUAAUUUGAUGCUAAGGAUACAGCUGUAAAUAAGACAGCUGAAGCCUUUUACUCCAUAAAGCUGAUUUUUGGUGGUGGAGACAUAAUUGCAAGUUGAAGUAAAUGCUGGGAAAAGAACAAGGGACUGGGUUAGAAAACAGGAGCCAUUCAUUCUUUAGGUGGAGCCAGCAGGAAAAAUGUCUUUGAGGAGUUGACGUUGGAAUUGAAGUCAAGAGAAUGAGGAGAUAGCAUUGGGAAAAGCAAGGCAGAGACAUUCCAAAUCAAGAACAGCUUGCACCAAGGUCCCGAGAAAGGGAUAGAGUCACCAAAAUUUGACAAGGUAUAAACCCAUCCAUGAGAAAGACUACAUUCUCUGAGCCACUGUUACAGAUUUCCUAUGUUGAAAACACAUUAUUUUAAAAGUAAGUACGCUUUAAAGAUUAUUACAGAGAAAAUCCCUACUGAGUGGAACUUGGCACAGUGGAACUGCAAAAACUCUGCUCUCAAGAAACAUGGAGGUGAGUCCUGAAGCUGGGCCAGCCUGGUCAACCUUCCACCAGGAAGGAAGAAGGCAGGAGCUCCAAGGGCAUCAAUAAAGUCAAACAACACACCUAGCAACAUCAGAGAGAGCCAGCCAGGCUUAGGGAGCCUGUGAGCACCAGCUGAGUCACUGCCAGGCAAGAGGAGGCUGGCAGGGGAGCCGGGCCCUGCCCUGGGGGCUGAGAGGCAGAGAUAGGAAGAGAAGGAAUCCUAGGAGUCCAGAGUGGGGAGAGGCUGAAGGAUCCUAAGGAAGUGGCCUGCCCAAGUGCAAGGGUACCGGAAGGGAUCUUUGGGAACCAUCUGCAAGGAGGAGCUAUGGGCAAGGGAAGGGUGGCGUCUCUGCAGCAGGAGAGAUUCAUUUCCUCUGUACCACAUACUAGCUGUGUAUCUUUGGCUGAGUUAUUUCAUAGGCCCAUUCUCUUAGAUGUAGAUGAGAACAAAAACACCGACUACCCCAGACUGACUGCAGAGAAGACGAGAUCAUGUAGAUGAGCACCUGGCACAAGAUUUGAUACCAUUUCUGCAUCGGUUCACAAAGGCCAGCUUACACCUACCCUUCCAAAGGACUCGCUUCAACUCCUGGGACAGAUCAUUUCAUUCUAGGAAGUCCGGGGACCCUCACGGUGAGCUCUGCAUCCUUCUAACACACCACUGCUGUUCCUGGAGACAAAUAGGCUCCAUCUCUCCACUGCCCAUUAAUCAUCAUUGAGCCUAUUUGCUCCUGAGUACAAGGGAAUCAGGUUCAAACAGACUCAACAUUUAUUUCCAAACAUUUAUUCAGCACUGAUCUGUUUAAUAAAUGGCAAUUUGGGAAUUUUAACUAAAUGAUAAACAGUCCUCUAGGAGCUACAGGCCUAGUAUGCCGGUAACAGAGUGGAAAGGUGAGGGGAAAAAAAAAGAAGGU